CGGAAGCCUGUCCUUUCUUCCUUUUGGUGCGAGCUUGCUGUGGUUUUUGCUCUGGGUCCUCUGGGAUGGCGCCUGGCUGUGGCCGCGUGGUCUCUCACGCAGGGGCGCCGGGCGGGGGAACGCGGCCACCCUGAGUCUGGUGAGUCGACUGCGGCGGCCUGUGUCCGAAGUGUCCGGGGCCGUGAACAAGGGCAGCGGCCUGGCCUCAGGCCUGCGUUCCCACGUUUGGAAACGGGGAGCUUCGUCGAUUUGUGUUUACAUCAUCGACUAUGCCAGGGAGUUCUCCAGAUAAGCCUGGUUUUAUUUUCGUCAGUGAAAAGGCCUUACCGUAUAACUGACUUUAUGCUUGCCCUGCCCCCGUAUAAAAUAACUUAAAAGCAGCGUGCCUGGUUACAGCUGUUUCCACGUGCGGUGCUCGUCGGGAGUGAUCACCUACCCUACAGGUGGAAGAUGGAUGCCUGAAGUGUAGACUGCUGCUAGCUGAAUACCAUCUGGGAGCAUAAAGGUGACCUGAAGGAUGUCCUUGGUGAGGAUUUUGAAAAUUUGAUCUUCACAAGAGUUGCCUGGAUCAUUUGAAAUUUCUGGGAGUCUGAGGAGUACUGACAUAAUUACCUGCUGGAGUCUGUAAAUACACAUUUAAGACAGUGAGGAUGUGAAUAAAUAUAUUAAUGCACUUUGGCAUUUGUGUUUUAAGUGAUUAACUGCCAGAAACAGCUAUUUCUAAAAAGUUAUAAGGGAGGAGGGGUUCUUUUUUGAUCAGUAUUCACUGCUGUCACCAUAAUUAAUAGCCUUAAAAUAGCUUGUGUUUGGCCCAAAGAGAAAUGUACUUUCUUCCAGUGACUCAAAAAUCGUGGCUAGAACUAGACUGAUUUCUAGUGACAGGUGUGCUUUACUGCACUCAAUGCGUAUUUUUCCUCCAACUAAAUUGUACAUUUAAUGUUGCCAUAUCUUCUGCCUUUGCUUUGCAGGAAACGACAAAUAAUGUAUAGAGGUAUUCAAAAAAUUUAUUGAAAGCACUGUACUAGGAGCUGAGAACACGAUGAUGAGCACAACACAGUUCUUCCCUUUGGAAACAUAGAUAAGUGGAGGGAAUGUCAUCACAAAUGUAAAACUUCACUAUGAGAUGAGUUCCGUGAUAGGAUUUUCUUAGGGAAACCUGAGAAAGAGUUGAGACUAAAGGUAUGUGUCAUAUUUUUCACAAGGCAAAACUGGGGGAAUGACAUAUACAGAGGCUUGGGCUAGAAAAAAGAUACCGUUAGUCCACUUACUUUUGAGACAGUUUUGGCUGCUUUCCCUCUUCAGUGCCCUGUUUUAGAACUGAGUCCUUACUGAGGCUUGUAAGAUGGCUAUUAUGGGAGGUGAGAGUGUUACAAAAUGAGGCUGAAGAGGUAGGUAAAGAAGCCAGACCACUUCAGGCUCCCUCUGGCUUUAUUAAAGCAAGAUAAAUCCAUGGUGGAAAAUCAGAUUUGCAAGAAAAGGUAGUUGAACUAGGUUGCUUAUUGUUGUCUAGACAAGAGACCAGCUUGGACUAGUAAAAUUAGUGAAAUAAGAUCGUUUAUAGUUGGAUGACAGAGCCAACUAGACGUGGUAAUAGUGGAGGUGUCCAUAACUGCUAGGUGUCCAGCUUGCACACUGAUGAGCAUAAUGACCCUAGAUUCAGCUGGGGAGCAGCAUUUAAACAGCUGAAUUUUUAAAUUACCUUUGAGAAACCCAAAUGGUCUUUUUGCAGUAGCACAUUACUCAGUAGUCUAAACUACAGAAAUAAACCUUAAGGCCAUGGGUAUAAAUGAGAUCUGCUGGUGGUAGAGGAAGAGGGCCUAGGGUCUGAAGUUUGAGAAACUCCACUAAUUAAUGGCAAGGUAAAGCAUGAUAAGCCAGAAAGGAUGGUCAGUGGUAGGAGCAAAAUAGGAUUAUAUUAAAGAAGCAAAAGAAUGUCCUAAAAAUUCUCCCUGGGAUUAAGUAACACAGUGAUUGAUAUUAGUGGAGUAGAGGGAAAGAUCCAUGUUAGAGAUAGCUUAAGAUAGGGAUUAGAUGAAUUGAGGGCAAUGACUAAAGAUACUGCUUGCAAGAAAACUGGCUGAGAAUGAGAGGAAAAUCUUAGUUGCUUGGCGGGAGGGGGUUUGUGGUUGUGAAAGAUAGUUUUGUUUAAUCUUAGUCUUAAAUUUAAAACCAAGUAGCAAGGAUCUAGCUGAGAGAAUAAUUGAAUACAUUAAUAUAGGAGGACAGACAAAGAUCCUGAAAAGGCUGGGAGAAGAGCAUCCAAAGCACAGGUGGAGAGACAAAAAGGUUAGGGCUGCUGGCAGCUGUGGAGAGAACUGUACGUGGUAAGGGGGAGAUAUAAGAUGUCCUGCAUAAGUAUUUUCCCUGUAGAUUGCAAAGUCAUCUAUGGAGAGGAAAGGUACAAAAUAGUCACUGGGGAGAGCAGGUGAAUUAGAUGGCCAAGCAGGGUGGAUGGAUCAUUUGAGGUUUGGGGUGACAGAUCAACUGAGAUCCACUUACACUUCUGAAAACGCAAGAACACUUUAGAAAUUAACAACACUUAAAGCUUUUUACAUCAUUUGUAAAUAACUGGUGGAACUUAACACCACAAAAUAAAGUAUUAUAAAGAACUUUAUAUGAAUAAAAAUAUAUGCAGUCUGAAAGU
rnacentral:lncRNA from 1 species